rnacentral:rRNA from 1 species
UACGUAGGGGGCUAGCGUUGUCCGGAAUCAUUGGGCGUAAAGAGCGUAUAGGCGGCCAGACAGGUCCGUUGUGAAAACUCGAGGCUCAACCUCGAGAUGUCGAUGGAAACCGUCUGGCUAGAGUCCGGAAGAGGAGUGUGGAAUUCCUGGUGUAGCGGUGAAAUGCGCAGAUAUCAGGAAGAACACCUAUGGCGAAGGCAGCACUCUGGGACGGUACUGACGCUGAGACGCGAAAGCGUGGGGAGCGAACAGG